rnacentral:tRNA from 2 species
GGUCCAAUAGUCUAGUGGUUAUGACAUCUGUCUUACACUCGUUGUAUACACAGAAGGUCUCCGGUUCGACCCCGGAUUGGACCA